UACCCUAACACUAGAAGUACUUAAAGUUCCAAUAUUCCGUAAUUGAGCUUCUAGUAUAAUUCUGUUUUUGUUUGAUCGAACCGACGACGACGACAAACUUACUCCUUUGACAUUCGCUGAGAUGUCGGGUGGUUUAUUGUACUCAGGUGCCCGUGUCUUCGUUGUCUGUCUUUCGAAUGUGAAUAGUGAGAGUCGCUGGGGAUUCAAGUGUCGCUUCGGUUGCUGGUUCGGCUUGCUUGUUGAGAAUCAGCUUUUGAAAUGGCUGUGAAGGUGUUGAACUACGAGGGCCGUAGCUACAAACUUUCCCUGAAGAGGGAAUGUAGUGAUUGUGAUUAGCAAACAGCAUACCAUGGAGCCAACCAGUUUUCUGGAUCUGGACCUUACUGCUUACCCUCCACCGAUUGAGUUUGUUUGACCCGGGUGCAGCGACACAGCCAUGGCUUCGUCCACAGUGAUGAAGGCCAACAACAUUGCGAUGAUUUCGUUUUCUGCCACGGCAGAGCCCAUCUUAGCGGAAAGAAGUCAGUUCGACAACUUGUUUUGUACAGCGUAUACUUCGCUCCUCUUUCUUUUGUAUUGCACUCAAUCUCUCGGAGUCUGGUGUACGAGAUAGCCAAUGGUUCUCUUCAGAAAGACAGAUCUUUCGGGGGAUACUCUUUUGUAUACCCUACGUGACCUUAUCCCACCGUGUAUGGAGGUUCAACUGUAUAACUGGAAAAGUAAAGUAGAAUUUUCAAAGAAAUUUUUCUGUUUUGCAUCCCCAUAAAAUUACAGGUACAGCAGCAAGCAUCAACCGCAGGUGCUUGCUCCUGGUGUAAGUGCUUCAGGCUCUUUCACGCAUGUGUCAUAGAGUUAUCGUCACAUAUGAUAAAGUAUAUCUGAUG